GACGAACGCUGGCGGCGUGCUUAACACAUGCAAGUCGAACGGAAAGGCCUUUUCGGAGGUACUCGAGUGGCGAACGGGUGAGUAACACGUGGGUGAUCUGCCCUGCACUCUGGGAUAAGCCUGGGAAACUGGGUCUAAUACCGGAUAGGACCGCACUUUAGUGUGUGUGGUGGAAAGUUUUUUCGGUGUAGGAUGAGCCCGCGGCCUAUCAGCUUGUUGGUGGGGUAAUGGUCUACCAAGGCGGCGACGGGUAGCCGGACUGAGAGGUUGGUCGGCCACAUUGGGACUGAGAUACGGCCCAGACUCCUACGGGAGGCAGCAGUGGGGAAUAUUGCACAAUGGGCGCAAGCCUGAUGCAGCGACGCCGCGUGGGGGAUGACGGCCUUCGGGUUGUAAACUCCUUUCGCCAGGGACGAAGCGUUUUGUGACGGUACCUGGAGAAGAAGCACCGGCUAACUACGUG
rnacentral:rRNA from 1 species